rnacentral:rRNA from 1 species
CCUACGGGAGGCUGCAGUGAGGAAUAUUGGUCAAUGGACGAGAGUCUGAACCAGCCAAGUAGCGUGAAGGAUGACUGCCCUAUGGGUUGUAAACUUCUUUUAUAUGGGAAUAAAAUGUUCCACGUGUGGGAUUUUGUAUGUACCAUAUGAAUAAGGAUCGGCUAACUCCGUGCCAGCAGCCGCGGUAAUACGGAGGAUCCGAGCGUUAUCCGGAUUUAUUGGGUUUAAAGGGAGCGUAGGUGGAUUGUUAAGUCAGUUGUGAAAGUUUGCGGCUAAACCGUAAAAUUGCAGUUGAAACUGGCAGUCUUGAGUACAGUAGAGGUGGGCGGAAUUCGUGGUGUAGCGGUGAAAUGCUUAGAUAUCACGAAGAACUCCGAUUGCGAAGGCAGUUCACUGGACUGCAACUGACACUGAGGCUCGAAAGUGUGGGUAUCAAACAGGAUUAGAUACCCGAGUAGUC